rnacentral:rRNA from 1 species
UACGGAGGGGGCUAGCGUUGUUCGGAAUUACUGGGCGUAAAGCGCACGUAGGCGGCUUUGUAAGUUAGAGGUGAAAGCCCGGGGCUCAACUCCGGAAUUGCCUUUAAGACUGCAUCGCUAGAAUUGUGGAGAGGUAAGUGGAAUUCCGAGUGUAGAGGUGAAAUUCGUAGAUAUUCGGAAGAACACCAGUGGCGAAGGCGGCGACCUGGUCCUUGACUGACGCUGAGGCGCGAAAGCGUGGGGAGCAAACAGG